rnacentral:rRNA from 1 species
UACAGAGGUCCCAAGCGUUGUUCGGAUUUACUGGGCGUAAAGGGUGCGUAGGCGGUUUGGUAAGUUGGAUGUGAAAUCUCCAGGCUCAACUUGGAGGGGUCAUUCGAUACUGCCAUGACUAGAGUUCGGUAGGGGAGUGUGGAAUUCCUGGUGGAGCGGUGAAAUGCGUAGAUAUCUGGAGGAACACCGGUGGCGAAGGCGGCAUCCUGGACCGGUAUUGACGCUGAGGCGCGAAAGCCAGGGGAGCAAACGGG